UAUCGAUUAGCUUAUCUCAAGGAUUAAGCCAUGCAAAUGUAAGACCGCUUCGCCCCUCACGGGGUGAAAUCCAAUCUGUACACGGCUCCUUACCCAGCUCUCAAACGCCACUCUAGGCUUACCCUCUACAGGUAUACCAGAGUCAAAGGCAGUAAUAAUACCCGCUCUCUCAAGCACCGUAGUUUCGGCUACGGUGUGAAUAGGAAGGUGUCUAUGAAUAGCACUUCCUCCCGCUCUGGGGUGACCCAGGGCACGUUCACCCACUCUAAUGGGGACUCGAGACGGUAUUGCUAUUUAUCAGUUCGUAGGGAGGCUCUGUCCCUCCCCAGACGACCACGAGUACGGGGGAUUGGUGUUCAAAUCCGGAGAAGGAGCCUUAAAAACGGCUACUGGUACUAAGGUGUACAGCAGGCGCGAAACUUGCCCAAUGGUAGCCCGCUACCGAGGCAGUGACAAGAAAUAAGCACCUGCCUCGUCUUGAGGUAGGGUACUUGACCGCAAGGUCGGUUUACAAUGGUGGAGUGGUAACAGCGCUCCAGAGGAACAACCAGAGGGAAAGUCAGGUGCCAGCAUCCGCGGUAAUACCUGCUCUGGGAGUCAAUGAUAACGUUGCUGCGGUUAAAACGUUCGUAGCUCACAUAAGAGGGCUUCGGCGAAGUCAGGUCUACCCCACACUGUCAACCCGGAUCUUAAUCUGGACUGGUGGUGGCUACUUCGGUAGCGCUCCUCUCUUGAGGGGUUGGCGGUUCUCCUAUAGUCGCACUUGGUAGGCUAGCUGGUCUAUGACUGGCCAAGCGUAUCGUGCUGCGAUGGCUGAGUUGUUGUCUUCAAACCCCAUAACCUGUGAGCAAAUCAAAGGGACCAAGCCACGAUUAGUCGGUUGCUCUCGUCCUUGAUGAGAGCCUCCUACGAUGUAGCAUGUCCUAGCACAGAACCUCUUAUACUAGCGGCCUUGAGCUGCUGGAGGAGGCAAUGAGACCAGGCUCAAGUGAGCGGUACCUACCGAUCAGGGGUAAAAUCCGUACAGUCGGUAGAGACCAACAGAGGCGAAAGCUGCUCACUAGGGCUGAUCUAUCAGCGAGGGUCGAGAGUCAGGGGAGCCAAGAUGAUUAGAUACCGUCGUAGUCCUGACCUUAAACGAUCCAAGCAAGUGCUGAGGGCGACACCAUCGCCAGAUCGGCUUUAGAACCCCGGGAAACCUAUAGCUUUCAUGGUCCGGGGGGAGUAUGUUCGCAAGGAUGAAACUUAAAGGAAUUGACGGAAACUUACCACCAGGAGUGGAUUCUGCGGCUUAAUUCGACUCAACGCGUGGAAACUUACCAGGUCCAGACUGCUGGACGAUUGACAGGCUACAGACCUUUCUUGAUUAGCAAAACAGUGGUGCAUGGUCGUUCUAAGUUCGUGGAUUGGUCUGUCUGCUUAAUUGCGAUAACGAGCGAGAUCUCAAUCGUUACUUGGUAGUCGUUGAUCCCUGUGAUCACGAGAACAUGGGAACCAAGCCGGCUUCGGCUAGGCUAGGAGCUCCCUCCUCAUAGCGAGACCUCAGGCGACUUUAGCAGUCUUGAGGAUGGUGGAGGCUAGAACAGAUCCGUUAUGCCCUUAGAUGUCCUGGGCGGCACGCGUAAUACAAUGCAGUCUCUAAUAGGCAGGCAGAGCUCGUCUUCUUGACGACUCAGCGUACCUCACCUUGACUGGUCCGGCAAACCAGCAAUGCACAGCUUAUCUGGGAUCGUGGGUUGCAAGUCCCACGCGAACCAGGAAUUCCUAGUAAGCGGGGAUCAACAUUCCCCACUGAAUACGUCACUGAGUUUUGUACACACCGCCCGUCGCUCCUACCAAUUGAGAGUACGGAUAAGGUGGGGGGAACUUGGCUCUCGCUGAGUGAACCCCUCCAAAUCUCUGCUCUUGUAGGAAGGAGAAGUCGUAACAAGGUAUCU
rnacentral:rRNA from 1 species